rnacentral:lncRNA from 1 species
UUCGUUCUCAUUCAGUUCAAUCACUCACUCUUCUGUUCUGAUCUAGGGUUUUACAGCUUUCACUUACUCCAUAAGAGUAAGCUCUGCCCCUUCGAGUUUACAGUUUUCAGUUUCUAUUAGAUUUGUUUGUUUUCAUCUAAUUUCCUUUGGCCUAUGAUUAAAAUUCUUAAAUAUAGACAAGCAUAUGUCUGAAUUUUCAUCAUGUUGAAUACCUAAUCUUCUCUAUGAGGCCAAUUACAUCUAUUUUUUUUUUUUAUGUUUUUCUAUCCAGAUUUCUACUUUUUGUGCUCAAUAAUUCAAACAAAAAACUGGGUCAUAUGAUGAUUAGAAGCAUAGUUCAAAUGAAAUCUAUGUGAUUACAAAACUUCUUUUUUAGUCUUUCGCUCCUAUCUGAUGACUCUUUUUAUUACUAUUAAAAAUCUGAUUUUUAAGCAAUUAAUUGUUGUAUUUUUUUUGAAAAAUUGAAAUGGUUAAUGGACAAUGACGAUUUAUCUAUUGGUCUCGUUCGUCGUAAUGGUGUUUAAACCACCUUGCCGACCAUUCUGAUAUAUCACCACCCAUAAACUGAGUCCUAUUACUAUACCUUUUUUUUUGUUUAUUUUUCAAUUUAGUUCUUCGUUUCUGGUGCUGUGAUGAAAAAAAUCUUGUGUCGGAGGCUUUUUGUCGCUGAUGGUUUACACAACCCUCUAAGAAGUUCUGAGCACUUUUUUUGUUUUCAAUUUCAGUAUUUUUUCUGAUUAUUUAGUAGUAGUAAUUGAAUGAUAAGUAAUUUAUUUUGAGGAUGAAUGAAGUGAUGAUAGAAUUCAUAUGUUAAUUCACUGAAUUACAUUUUUAUGAUGUUAAGAGUGAAUCCCGACAGGUUCUGAUCGUUUAUUAGUUAAUUAAUCCUCCAUUAAUUGUGAUUUUGCUUUGUUAAUUUUAUGUCUUGUGGGCAAAUGAUGAAAUUUUUAUAUCGUAAAUGGGUAAUUUGCGUCUGAAUCUUUCUUUGAUGUUAUAACCUUGGAGAACUGAUGCCCUUUAAACUUUUUACUUUGCAUUUUGUUUUCAUAAUGCCAAUUAGCAGAGCAAAGGUGUCUUUCACAAAUGACACACAUUUGCAUUGAAGGUUGGCUAUAUAUAUAUAGCGAUUCUCCGUGCCUUUCAAGCUUUUUUCUCGUAUUGAUUACGGCCUCGAACAAAUUGCUACAUUUUCUCCCUUCACUGUUGUGCUUAUUUGGUACCUUAGUUGCUUUGUUUUUAACGUAGACAAUUUGCAGAGCAAGGGUGUCUUUCAAAAUGACAUACAUUUGCAUUGAAGGUUGGCCAUAUGUAUAGCGAUUCUCCGUGCCUUUCAAGCUUUCUUCUCGUAUUGAUUACGGCCUCGAACAAAUUGCUACAUCCACCAAUUAUUAUGGUACAUUUAUCUAUAAAUUUGGUUAUAUAAAUGACUUGAUCUUGACAAUGAGUUUGUAUUAUCUAAUUUUAGUUUAAGUUUCUUAAUUAUGCAUAAACUAUUAAAUUUGUGAUCUUAGUAGUUACUCUCUGUAGUAAAUUUGUUUAUUAUCAUUGGCCGAUGAUUAAAUUUCUAAUAUAGACAAGCAUAUGACUGAAUUUUCAUUAUGUUGAAUACCUAAUCUUCUCUAUGAGGCCAAUCAUAUUUUUUCCAUAUUGUUAUGCUUCCUGUGUUCAAUAGUUUUAUAAAAAUAGUUUUUUUUUGUGUUGUCAUUGUUUAUAAACGGGUCAUAUGAUGAUUAAAAGCAUAGUUCAAAUGAAUUCUUUGUGAUUAUAAAACAAUCUUUAUAGUCUUUCGCUCCUAUCUGAUGACUCCUUUUUUAUUUGUGUUAAAGGUAUGAUUUGUUUUUGAAAAUUUUGAAAGGGUUAAUGGACUAUGACGACUUAUAUCUAUUGGUCUCGUUCGUCG